rnacentral:rRNA from 1 species
UACGGAGGGGGCAAGCGUUGUUCGGAAUUAUUGGGCGUAAAGGGCGCGUAGGCGGCCGGAUAAGUCUGACGUGAAAUCCCCCGGCCCAACCGGGGAACUGCGUUUGAAACUGUUCGGCUCGAGUCCGGGAGAGGGUAGUGGAAUUCCCAGUGUAGCGGUGAAAUGCGUAGAUAUUGGGAGGAACACCGGUGGCGAAGGCGGCUACCUGGACCGGUACUGACGCUGAGGCGCGAAAGCUAGGGUAGCAAACAGG